GUACUGAUGAAGAGUCCCAAAGUAGGACGAAACAACUGUGCAGUAC
rnacentral:hammerhead_ribozyme from 1 species